rnacentral:rRNA from 1 species
UGUGUCAGCCCGCGCGGUAAAACGUAGGGGGCGAGCGUUGUCCGGAAUUACUGGGCGUAAAGGGCGUGUAGGCGGUUACCUAAGUCAGGUGUGAAAUCCUAAGGCUCAACCUUAGGGCUGCGCCUGAAACUGGGUAACUUGAGGGCAGGAGAGGAGAGCGGAAUUCCCGGUGUAGCGGUGAAAUGCGUAGAUAUCGGGAAGAACACCAGUGGCGAAGGCGGCUCUCUGGACUGUACCUGACGCUGAGGCGCGAAAGCGUGGGGAGCGAACAGGAUUAGAUACCCUGGUAGUCCACGCUGUAAACGAUGGGUGCUAGGUGUUGGGGGUAUCGAAUCCUCCAGUGCCGGAGUAAACACAAUAAGCAGUACUCGCCUGCGACAUCCCGUUCCCCUC